rnacentral:misc_RNA from 1 species
GAUGUUUGUCGCUCAGCUGAGAAUGUUGUUGGGCUUUUCUUGCAACGGAUGAAGAACGGGAGGAGAGGACCUUUCGAAAACUUGGUCUGGGCUCCCCUGAAUUUCAUUUCCCAGCGUAAGCUUUUCCUUCAGAUGGCCCGGAUUAAUCAUAAGAUCUGUGAUAUUUCUGGUAGAAGAUUUGAAGCCAUUCCAAGAUCUAUCUCAGGGAGUAACAAUGACCAAAGUUUAUAUCAACAGGAAGAACCACCACCUCGUGAUUCUGAUCAACUUGAUAUGGUUAGCUUCGAUGAGGAUGUUGAUGC